AUUGAACGCUGGCGGCAGGCCUAACACAUGCAAGUCGGACGGUAACAGGAAGAAGCUUGCUUCUUUGCUGACGAGUGGCGGACGGGUGAGUAAUGUCUGGGAAACUGCCUGAUGGAGGGGGAUAACUACUGGAAACGGUAGCUAAUACCGCAUAACGUCGCAAGACCAAAGAGGGGGACCUUCGGGCCUCUUGCCAUCGGAUGCGCCCAGAUGGGAUUAGCUAGUAGGUGGGGUAACGGCUCACCUAGGCGACGAUCCCUAGCUGGUCUGAGAGGAUGACCAGCCACACUGGAACUGAGACACGGUCCAGACUCCUACGGGAGGCAGCAGUGGGGAAUAUUGCACAAUGGGCGCAAGCCUGAUGCAGCCAUGCCGCGUGUAUGAAGAAGGCCUUCGGGUUGUAAAGUACUUUCAGCGGGGAGGAAGGGAGUAAAGUUAAUACCUUUGCUCAUUGACGUUACCCGCAGAAGAAGCACCGGCUAACUCCGUG
rnacentral:rRNA from 1 species